AAGACCUUGCGCUUUUGGAGCGGCCGAUGUCUGAUUAGCUUGUUGGUGAGGUAAAGGCUUACCAAGGCUUCGAUCAGUAGCUGGUCUGAGAGGACGGCCAGCCACACUGGGACUGAGACACGGCCCAGACUCCUACGGGAGGCAGCAGUGGGGAAUUUUGGACAAUGGGGGCAACCCUGACGACGCAACGCCGCGUGGAGGAUGAAGAUCUUCGGGUCGUAAACUCCUUUCGAUUGGGACGAAUGGCCUUCGGGUGAAUAAUCCGGAGGCGUGACGACCGAGAGAAGAAGCCCCGGCUAACUCCGUGCCAGCAGCCGCGGUAAUACGGGGGGGGCGAGCGUUAAUCGGAAUUACUGGGCGUAAAGCGUGCGCAGGUGGCUUUGUAAGUCAGAUGUGAAAGCCCCGGGCUCAACCUGGGAACU
rnacentral:rRNA from 1 species